rnacentral:lncRNA from 10 species
UGACUGAUUUGACUGGUAAAAAUACAAGGAACCACUUUUAGAUUGAGACAGUUUAGUACUUACAUAAACAGUACAAAGAAUGAACCAAAGAGGCCAACUCCCCAGGUCCUUGUCUCAUAUACCCUGAGUUAGGGCCACCAUAGAAACCAGAGAAAGAACUGUUCCUGAAGCUAGAGAAAAGGAAAGUACUUACAAUCUGAACCCAAAGGAAUCUUGUACUUCCCAUAUCAUGAUCUCAGAACUUGUUUGAGCCAGUGAGGCAGAGCAGAUGGCAGACCAGAAAGAAAAAAAAAUGAGCUCACCUUGGCUUAUUCUCCUUGAAGGGGAAGAUAUUCUAGCUUCAUGCCUCUGAGGUUCUAGGAGAGAUCACAGCCCCACAGCCACUCCUAGAAAAAGAGGCACCUGCAUAUCAAACAACUCUGAAGAAAAUCUGCCAAAUUCCAAACUUCCCCUCUCCCACACAUUCCCCAGAGAAACUCCCCAACAAGGCCCUCAAUAAUAAAGUGGUAAC